GAACGAGAAAGUCCCGCAAGGGAUGAGUAAAGUGGCGCACGGGUGAGUAACACGUAGCUAACCUGCCUUCCAGUGGGGGAUAACCUGGGGAAACUCGGGCUAAUACCGCAUAACAUCCGGGUUGCACAAGCAGCUUGGAGCAAAGGCCCGCAAGGGCCGCUGGAGGAGGGGGCUGCGGCCGAUUAGCUAGUUGGUGAGGUAAUGGCUCACCAAGGCGAUGAUCGGUAGCCGGCCUGAGAGGGCGCACGGCCACACUGGCACUGAAACACGGGCCAGACUCCUACGGGAGGCAGCAGUGGGGAAUUUUGCACAAUGCCCGAAAGGGUGAUGCAGCAACGCCGCGUGAGGGAUGAAGGCCUUCGGGUCGUAAACCUCUUUCGACCGGGAAAAAUGGACGCGUGAAAAGCGCGUUCUGAUGGUACCGGUGGAAGAAGCCCCGGCCAACUACGUG
rnacentral:rRNA from 1 species